UACGUAGGUGGCAAGCGUUGUCCGGAAUUAUUGGGCGUAAAGCGCGCGCAGGCGGUCCUUUAAGUCUGAUGUGAAAGCCCACGGCUCAACCGUGGAGGGUCAUUGGAAACUGGGGGACUUGAGUGCAGAAGAGGAGAGUGGAAUUCCACGUGUAGCGGUGAAAUGCGUAGAGAUGUGGAGGAACACCAAUAGCGAAGGCAGCUCGCUGGGACGGUACUGACGCUAAGGCGCGAAAGCGUGGGGAGCGAACAGG
rnacentral:rRNA from 1 species